UACAGAGGUGGCAAGCGUUGUUCGGAAUUACUGGGCGUAAAGGGCGCGUAGGCGGCCUCGUAAGUCCUGUGUGAAAUCCCCCGGCUCAACUGGGGAACUGCACAGGAAACUGCGAGGCUUGAGUUCGGGAGAGGGAAGCGGAAUUCCGGGUGUAGCGGUGAAAUGCGUAGAUAUUGGGAAGAACACCAGUGGCGAAGGCGGUUCUCUGGGACGGUACUGACGCUGAGACGCGAAAGCGUGGGGAGCGAACAGG
rnacentral:rRNA from 1 species